AUGAGGAAGCUCUUCUUCUCCGAGUUGACCUCCUGCAAGGAGACCAAGCUCCAGUCCGCCACCCACUCAUGGCUGCCCAUGGACAAAGGCAAGCUCUCCAAGUUCACUGGCCACUCCAGCUCCUCCUCCUCCUCGAUAGAAUCUCUGAUGAAAAUGCCGGAGCCGCCGGUCCUCCCGCACUUCAAGCCUGCUGACUACGUCGACAUAUUGGCUCAGAUUCACGAGGAGCUGGAGUACUGCCCUCCUGAUGAGAAGUCGUGCCUGUACCUGCUCCAGUUCCAGGUUUUCCGCGGGCUUGGAGAGGCCAAGCUGUCGCGAAGGAGCCUCCAGGCUGCCUGGGAGAAGGCGAGCACGAUACACGAGAAGCUCAUAUUCGGGGCAUGGCUCAAGUACGAGAAGAGAGGGGAGGAGCCGAUAUCUGACCUUCUUGGCUCGUGCGGCAAGUGCUCUCAAGAGUUCAAGCUGCUGGAUUUCGUCUCACAGAUCUCCGCCGAGUCGCACGGGAUAAGCUACGAUGACGAAUCUGAUGAGUUCCAGGGCUCCCCGGUGGUUCAUUUCCGGAUAAGGGAUGACAUGAUUGCAUGCGAUAGGCGGAAGCUUGCGGCCUUGUCAACUCCACUGUAUGCGAUGCUUAAUGGUGGGUUUAAGGAGUCACAUCUUGAAGUCAUUGACAUGUCUCGGAACGGCAUCUCCCCUAUUGGUAUGCGAGCCAUCAGUAAAUUCAGCCUGUCAGGAAGACUACCGUAUUUGUCAGCAGAAUCUAUUUUGGAGAUGCUUGAUUUUGCUAACAAAUUCUGCUGCAAGGGCCUCAAGGAUGCUUGCGAGCAAAAACUUGCUUCUUUUGUUUCUUCCAGGCAAGAUGCCAUAGAUUACAUGGAGUGUGCUAUUGAGCUGGGCUGUUCCAUACUUGCCGCGUCAUGCUUGCAGGUGCUCCUGAAUGAGCUUCCAGAAUGCUUGAAUGAUGAGCAAGUGGUUAGGAUAUUCUCCUCCGCGAAUAAGCAGCAGAGAUCCACUAUGGCUGGCAAUGCAUCUUUCUCCCUAUAUUGCCUUCUUGGUGAAGUCUCCAUGAGCAUCAGUGCAACAUCAGAUGUCACUGUAAGCUUCUUGGAGAAGCUGGUUGACUCAGCAUCAGAUUCUAGACAGAAGCAGUUGGCCUUGCAUCAAUUGGCUUGCGUGAGGCUGCUAAGGAAAGAUCAUGCUGAGGCUGAGCGCCUGUUCAAUGCCGCCUUUACCGCUGGUCAUGUCUACUCGGUAGUGGGCUUGGCUAGAUUGGCCUCUCUGAGGAGUAAUAAACAUUAUUCUCUCAACUUGCUUGACUCUGUCAUGUCAUCUCGGUGGCCUCUUGGGUGGAUGUAUCAAGAGAGAGCCCUAUAUCUGGACGGUGAUAGCAAGUUAGAGAAUCUCAAUAAGGCUACUGAACUGGAUCCUACCCUUACAUACCCCUAUAUGUUUCGAGCUGCAUCUUUGAUGAAAAGGCAAAGUGUUGAAGCUGCCCUGAUGGAGAUUAACCGGAUCCUGGGGUUCAAGCUGGUCCUGGAAUGCUUAGAGCUAAGGUUCUGUUGCUACCUUGCUCUAGAGGACUACAGGGCUGCCUUAUGCGAUGUGCAGGCAAUCCUCACGCUUGCUCCAGAUUAUCGUAUGAUUGGUGGUCGGGUGGCUGCGAAGCAGCUGCGUACGCUUGUGAUGGAGAAUGUAGAGCAAUGGACGACUGCUGAUUGCUGGAUGCAGCUUUAUGAUCGGUGGUCCUCUGUGGAUGAUAUUGGAUCCCUCUCGGUCAUAUAUCAAAUGCUGGAGUCAGAUGCUGCUAAGGGAGUACUGUACUUCAGACAAUCUUUGCUGCUUCUCAGAUUAAAUUGUCCUGAGGCUGCAAUGCGCAGCUUGCAGCUUGCUCGUGAGCAUGCAGCAAGCCACCAUGAACGGCUUGUUUACGAAGGAUGGAUACUGUAUGAUACUGGCCACUGCGAGGAAGGAUUGCAGAAAGCGGAAGCAUCGAUUGCCAUACAGAGAUCAUUUGAGGCGUUCUUUCUAAAAGCUUAUGCUUUAGCUGAUUCGAGUCUUGAGGCGUCAACCUCAGCAACAGUCGUAUCGCUUCUUGAAGAUGCAUUACGGUGUCCCUCAGAUAGACUUAGGAAGGGCCAGGCUUUGAAUAACCUUGGGAGUGUUUAUGUGGAUUGCGGGAAUCUGGACUUGGCAGCUGAAUGCUACAUUAACGCUUUAAAGAUUGGCCACACGAGAGCUCAUCAAGGCCUUGCCAGGGUUCAUUUCCUUAGGAAUAACAGGACCGGUGCAUUCGAGGAAAUGACCAAGCUGAUAGAGAAGGCCAGGAGCAAUGCAUCAGCGUACGAGAAGAGGUCUGAGUAUUGUGACCGGGAUCUAACUAAAGCUGAUCUGCAGAUGGUCACCAAACUUGACCCCCUCCGGGUCUACCCCUACAGAUACCGUGCCGCUGUUCUGAUGGACAACCACAAGGAGAAAGAUGCCAUCUCAGAGCUGACUAAGGCAAUUGCCUUUAAGGCGGACCUGAACCUGCUCCAUCUGCGUGCGGCCUUCCACGAGCACGUGGGUGACAUCUCAGGCGCCCUCCGGGACUGCCGCGCAGCACUUUCCGUGGACCCCAACCACCAGGAAAUGCUCGAGCUUCAUCAUCGGACUGGAAUGAUCUGCAAGAGAUGUUGUUACCGCUGCAUGUUAUUCUUCUGA
rnacentral:rRNA from 1 species